GUUCUCAGAGCUGAGCCAUCCUGUGUGUGUUUGUUCCAUGUAAGUCCAGAGACUGAGCCAGCAAGGGCGGCAGUGCAGCCAAACUUGGAGUGCAGAGCCUUGUUCCUCAUGCCCUGACAACAGGACUUUCAAGACUAAUCACUGUCUUGUGAGAGGAGUUAUUUCAGUAAAGAAUGAAAGUCAGCUCUCAAGUGAGAAGGAAAUGAAUGAUGUGAAGAGAUACCUGACUCAUAAUUAACUCUGACAGCAAUACAUUGGCAUCUGCAGCAGCACGUGUUACCCUGGGGUUCAUCUUACAGAAUGCACAGGAAGGAGGAAAUUGUACAUUUUGCCUCAGCACCUGCUCAUCACCACCUUUAUA